GGUGAAGGAUCUCCUUUGACACAGGCAACCUCCAUCCAGGCACGCAGUGGAAAUGGACAGCUGACCAUAUAGCCCAGUCCCUUUUCUGACACACUUCUUCCUUGGGGAAGUUGAGGUUGGGGGCGGGCUAUGCACAGGGCUCCCCAGCCUCCCUGUGUGUCUGCUCCCUUCCCUGCCCUCCGCCCGGUGGCCCCAUGGGCCACAGCCCACAGGGAAGCAGGUUGGUGCCACCACUGCCUCCCCUCCGCAGCCGGCGAGCCUGUAAAUGCCUCCCUUGGGCCCCCAUGAGGCCAGUGAGCCAGAAGCCCCUCUGACCCAGAGGUCACUGUGACCAGCACAUCCUGGAGAGGAGGCCUCGCCCUUGCACCUUUUAUUUGCAAGAGUUACUUUUACAUUUAUUUUAAAUGUUGAUUUAAGUAUAUACUUCAUCUACAGUUAUCCAUAUAAAUAGAUUCAUUACAGGGCCUGGCUCUGAAUAAACACAGUAAGUUGGA
rnacentral:lncRNA from 1 species